CCUACGGGUGGCAGCAGUGGGGAAUAUUGGGCAAUGGAGGAAACUCUGACCCAGCAACGCCGCGUGAAGGAUGAAGGUUUUCGGAUUGUAAACUUCUGUCGCGAGGGAUGAAGAAUGACGGUACCGCGUAAGAAAGCCCCGGCAAACUACGUGCCAGCAGCCGCGGGAAUACGGAGGGGGCGAGAGAUGGCCGGAAUGACUGGGCGGAAAGGGAGGGUAGGCGGCAUAUUAAGUUAUGUGUGAACGCCCGCGGCUCAACCGCGGAAUUGCAAAUAAAACUGGUAAGCUGUAGUGCAGGAGAGUGAAGUGGAAUUCCCGGUGUAGCGGUGGAAUGCGUAGAUAUCGGGAGGAACACCCGAGGCGCAGGCGACUUACUGGACUGUAACUGACGCUGCGGCUCGAAAGCGUGGGGAGCAAACAGGAUUAGAUACCCUUGUAGUC
rnacentral:rRNA from 1 species